UGGGGAAUUUUGCGCAAUGGGCGAAAGCCUGACGCAGCAACGCCGCGUGGAGGAUGAAGGUUCUCUGAAUCGUAAACUCCUGUCGGCCGGGAAGAAUGGGCGGGGUGCUAAUCAGCUCCGUUUUGACUGUACCGGCAAAGGAAGCCCCGGCUAACUCCGUGCCAGCAGCCGCGGUAAUACGGAGGGGGCAAGCGUUACUCGGAAUUAUUGGGCGUAAAGGGCGCGUAGGCGGUCGUGUGCGUCGGAGGUGAAAUCCCCGGGCUUAACCCGGGAGCUGCCUCCGAUACGGCAUGGCUUGAGUCCGGGAGAGGGGAGCAGAAUUCCCAGUGUAGCGGUGAAAUGCGUAGAUAUUGGGAGGAAUACCAGUGGCGAAGGCGGCUCCCUGGACCGGUACUGACGCUGAGGCGCGAAAGCGUGGGUAGCAAACAGGAUUAGAUACCCCUGUAGUCC
rnacentral:rRNA from 1 species